rnacentral:rRNA from 1 species
CCUACGGGUGGCAGCAGUGGGGAAUAUUGGACAAUGGGCGAAAGCCUGAUCCAGCCAUGCCGCGUGUGUGAAGAAGGCCUUCGGGUUGUAAAGCACUUUCAGUGGGGAAGAAAGCCUUGGGGCUAAUACCCUCGAGGAAGGACAUCACCCACAGAAGAAGCACCGGCUAACGCCGUGCCAGCAGCCGCGGUAAUACGGAGGGUGCGAGCGUUAAUCGGAAUUACUGGGCGUAAAGCGCGCGUAGGCGGUCUGAUAAGCCGGUUGUGAAAGCCCCGGGCUCAACCUGGGAACGGCAUCCGGAACUGUCAGGCUAGAGUGCAGGAGAGGAAGGUAGAAUUCCCGGUGUAGCGGUGAAAUGCGUAGAGAUCGGGAGGAAUACCAGUGGCGAAGGCGGCCUUCUGGACUGACACUGACGCUGAGGUGCGAAAGCGUGGGUAGCAAACAGGAUUAGAUACCCUAGUAGUC